rnacentral:rRNA from 1 species
GUCUCAGCGAUGCUCGUCUAUAUUGGCCCCAUCGACGUAAUUAACUUCUGGCUGCUGCAAAGAAGGAAAACAAAAGGAUUAGGGAUUAAUAAGGUGCC